CAUACCACGUUGAAAUACCAGUUUCCGUAGGAUCACCGAAGUUAAGCAACGUUGAACCCGAUCAGCACCUAGAUGGGUGGCCGCUUGAAUACCAAGUGCUGUAAG